UAGAAGGCUUCGCAAGAGAGAGCUUUUUGGUACUCGAGAUCCACCAGGCCCAGGAAUUGCCGAAACCGUGCGAAAAUGGGGCCUGCAUCCUGGCACAGAGAGAAAGAGAGAACAUAGGAAGCAGAAAAAGGCAGUAUUAUCAGAUCCAACCCACCAUCAUUUUCAAGAAACUCUUCAAAAAAAUCCUGGUGGUCGUUCAGUGGCAAAGGCAAAUCAGCCCCACGCAAAGCCGAGGCUCACCGUGGUCACUGGGUGAUCGAUCGCAUGCUGGAUGGAGGUCUUGAGCCCCUCUUUGAGCAUGCAGCUGAGCUGGUAGGACUCGUGAUCA